UCUCUCAGUGUCCGUCGCGGAACGAGGACGAAAUUCGUCGCAGAGGAGAACGUACGUACACGGUCCCCUCCACCACGGGUACCCUGCCACUGCGUAACUUUUUUGUCAUUUUUGUUUACUUUUUACAACCGUGUUACCAUGCGAUCGUUAUCGAUCCGCGACGGAGGUUCCCCACUUGUGCUUCAUCCGCGCGUAUUUCCCCUGCCCUCCCCCCAAAACUAAUUAUUCCUCCCCUCUGUAGCCCUCCCUCAACAACUAAACAAUUAAAAAUUCUCGAGUCUUCUGAUUAAUCAAUAUUUCGUUUACAGUCUUGUCGAAACGUUUCGGACGUUUCCGCCUAAAAGUUAGUUGGACGAUGGUGUCUCCGACACCUGGAAGUAUCUUUUCUUUUCUUUUUUUUUUUUUUUUUUGUUUCAUUUCUCUCCCAUUCCUUUGUUGCAUUACAUAAAUCUAACUACUGUAUAGCCUGCGAUUAAGCCGUGUAUCGGUACAGAAUGUCGUUUAAGCGCGUCUCGAAGACGAGUCGCGCGAAAGGACGUUGCACUGAACAUUUGCCGUGUGAUCGGCCCGUUCACGGGAAUCUAAACGAUUCGCGUUUGACUCGACGAGCCGACGAUUCUGCGAAGCCGCCGAUAUCCUUCGAAUCAUCGCCAACGUACGACCAGACUUGGUUUUUCAUCGCGAAACCCUCGGUCAGUCGGCUGACCAACUCGCUUUCGUUAGGCUCUCGGGCGAUUCGAAAGUUUCACACAAGUAUCGUAGAAAGAUCCGGAGAGUUACGCGGUAUAAAAGUAGACGAAAAUAACUAUGCGAUUUAUACUAAUUUUUCUGCAGCACUACGCGCUGUAGAACAUACACGAUCACCGUCGUCCCCCAAUUUCCUUCCAAGACUCCGCGAUAUAGAAAUUGUAAAACUGAUCAGGGAAAACGGCAAAUCCGAAGUGUCGUCGUGGCAAUCGUUUUAGAUUCGUCGAACGUGCGUUGAAGAUGACUCGAAUCGAUGAAAACGGGCAUUCGCAACGCUGAAACAACGAGCAAAGCCUCGACUGCGGACGGGACGCGUCCGGAAGGUUGAUUCUCUCACAAGCUUCCGCGACUAUGUUGAUGAAAAAGAUUCGUUUCGAUUCUUCAUCGAGAAACCGAGGAAUCCUUUCGUUUCGUAAGAAUCGCAACGAUGCGCG